UGCCUGCUUCCCAGCAAGCCUCAGCUCUGUUCCCUCUGCCUGAGGCGGGAAGGAGGGGCUGAGGCUGCCCUUCUCUCUAGGCUGGUGUUGCUCUCCUCCGACUUCUCCGCAGCAGCCUGGCGGCAUGUGAGGCACUGUGUAGCACAGCAGAUUCCCUGCUGUAUUCAGUCAUACGACGUAUGAUGCUUUGUGGAUGAAUUGGGUUUGAAUAGUGAAUAAGUCUCUUGGCUGUAGGACUCCUGCUGUGCAGCAGAAGCUGGAAAGCGUGCAGUGAAUAAGGCAGGAAACUGGGACAACAAAUGAUCUUGUGCUUAAGGCAACUGAAUGCCACCAUGGAGAACUGAAGCCAGUGACACAACGGCUCGGCAUCGCUGAAUUACAGAAACAACUCUCAAACUGGAGCUUGCGUGUUGCAUCACUUAAUUUUGACCCCCUGGGCAGAGAUAAUUUCACUCCUGUAUGUAGUCCAGAGCACUAGUCUCUGGCUUAAUGACAAAGGUAAAAUUACAGUAUUUUUUCCCUUAUUAAACUCUGCAGAUCCUUCACUGCUA